rnacentral:tRNA from 1 species
UUUAGCCUUUAUUGCAUUUGUAAUUUAUAGAACUGCGAACAGGUGACUACUGUUAAUUUAUGUGAUUAAAGUUUCAAUGAUAUUUGAUU